UAGUUGGUGGGGUAAAGGCCUACCAAGGCGACGAUCUGUAGCGGGUCUGAGAGGAUGAUCCGCCACACUGGGACUGAGACACGGCCCAGACUCCUACGGGAGGCAGCAGUGGGGAAUAUUGGACAAUGGGGGGAACCCUGAUCCAGCCAUGCCGCGUGUGUGAAGAAGGCCUUUUGGUUGUAAAGCACUUUAAGCGAGGAGGAGGCUACUCUAGUUAAUACCUAGGGAUAGUGGACGUUACUCGCAGAAUAAGCACCGGCUAACUCUGUGCCAGCAGCCGCGGUAAUACAGAGGGUGCGAGCGUUAAUCGGAUUUACUGGGCGUAAAGCGUGCGUAGGCGGCUUUUUAAGUCGGAUGUGAAAUCCCUGAGCUUAACUUAGGAAUUGCAUUCGAUACUGGGAAGCUAGAGUAUGGGAGAGGAUGGUAGAAUUCCAGGUGUAGCGGUGAAAUGCGUAGAGAUCUGGAGGAAUACCGAUGGCGAAGGCAGCCAUCUGGCCUAAUACUGACGCUGAGGUACGAAAGCAUGGGGAGCAAACAGGAUUAGAUACCCUGGUAGUCCAUGCCGUAAACGAUGUCUACUAGCCGUUGGGGCCUUUGAGGCUUUAGUGGCGCAGCUAACGCGAUAA
rnacentral:rRNA from 1 species